GUCCCGCGUCGAUGGGACAUAUACUAAAAUUGGAACGAUACAGAGAAGAUUAGCAUGGCCCCGAAGCAAGGAUGACACGCAAAAUCGUGAAGCGUUCCUAAUUUUU